rnacentral:misc_RNA from 1 species
GAUGAAGAACGUAGCGAAAUGCGAUAAGUAAUGCGAAUUGCAGAAUCCGUGAGUCAUCGAAUCUUUGAACGCACAUUGCGCCCUUUGGUAUUCCGAAGGGCAUGCCUGUUCGAGCGUCAUUAUCACCCCUCAAGCUCCGGCUUGGUGUUGGGCUCUCGGUGGUCGUCUCCGACCACCCGUCUCAAAGAUAGUGACGGCGUCCCAGAGGGAACCGGUACGAGGAGCUUUCACGAGCAUGUACGCGGGACGACUCUGCGGGCGACGGUCUUAUUUACUUUAUAUACAAGUGUUGACCUCGGAUCAGGUAGGAAUACCCGCUGAACUUAAGCAUAUCAAUAAGCGGAGGA